rnacentral:lncRNA from 1 species
GGUGAAACGUGUUAUUUUCAUUCCUCAAAGUAUAAGGGGUUUGUCUGGGAAGAUAUGGCUGGACUAACUCAUAUAAGUAUGCAGGUGUCAUCCCAUUUAAUAUUUUAUAGAAUAGUACAAGCUUAUGUUUAUUACGUCUAUUCUCCAGAGUUUCUAAACCUAAUUCAAUAUAAAGUUUUUGUCUGGAGGAAUUACGUCGUAAACCUGUAAUUAUUCUAGCGGCUUCUAUCUGAAUAUUUUCAAGAAGCUCAGACUCGUGCUGGGAGCAAUUGCCCCAUACAACAUCCCCAUACUCUAAUAUAGGUCUAAUAAAAGCAUAAUAAAUACGUAUAAGUGAACUCCUAUCUAAUGAAUGCUUAACUUGACGAAGCACAGAUAGACGAGAGCAUGCUUUUUUAUAAAUAAUAUCAAUAUGUG